UGGGGAAUUUUGGACAAUGGGCGAAAGCCUGAUCCAGCCAUGCCGCGUGAGUGAAGAAGGCCUUCGGGUUGUAAAGCUCUUUCAGGUGGAAAGAAAAGGUUACGGAUAAUACCUGUGACUGAUGACGGUACCAUCAGAAGAAGCACCGGCUAACUACGUGCCAGCAGCCGCGGUAAUACGUAGGGUGCGAGCGUUAAUCGGAAUUACUGGGCGUAAAGGGUGCGUAGGCGGUUAAAUAAGUUAGAUGUGAAAUCCCCGGGCUUAACCUGGGAAUUGCAUUUAAUACUGUAUGACUAGAGUAGAGUAGAGGGAAGUGGAAUUUCCGGUGUAGCGGUGAAAUGCGUAGAUAUCGGAAAGAACAUCAGUGGCGAAGGCGGCUUCCUGGACUCAUACUGACGCUGAGGCACGAAAGCAUGGGGAGCAAACAGGAUUAGAUACCCCCGUAGUCCCUGAGCGGGCUGGCAAGGCGCAU
rnacentral:rRNA from 1 species